rnacentral:rRNA from 1 species
CAGCAGCCACGGGAAUACGAAGGGUGCAAGCGUUAAUCGGAAUUACUGGGCGUAAAGCGUGCGUAGGCGGUUUGUUAAGUCUGUUGUGAAAUCCCCGGGCUCAACCUGGGAAUGGCAAUGGAUACUGGCAAGCUAGAGUGUGUCAGAGGAUGGUGGAAUUCCCGGUGUAGCGGUGAAAUGCGUAGAGAUCGGGAGGAACAUCAGUGGCGAAGGUGGCCAUCUGGGACAACACUGACGCUCAUGCACGAAAGCGUGGGGAGCAAACAGGAUUAGAUACCCCCGUAGUCCCUGUCUCUUAUAC